UACGUAGGGGGCUAGCGUUGUCCGGAAUCAUUGGGCGUAAAGCGCGCGUAGGCGGUCCGGUAAGUCCGCUGUGAAAGUCGAGGGCUCAACCCUCGAAUGCCGGUGGAUACUGUCGGGCUUGAGUACGGGAGAGGCGAGUGGAAUUCCUGGUGUAGCGGUGAAAUGCGCAGAGAUCAGGAGGAACACCGAUUGCGAAGGCAGCUCGCUGGAACGUUACUGACGCUGAGACGCGAAAGCGUGGGGAGCAAACAGG
rnacentral:rRNA from 1 species